CGGCUGGACCGGCUUCACUGGUUCUGCGUAGCAAGGUUCUGAUGACCCACCGGCUGUAUAGAACUAAGAUGGCCGCUGUUGUUGGACUGGGUCAGGCAGGACCAAGAUGGAUGAAACCGGUUCUGUUGUGGGUCCAUCAGAACUGGGUUUAGAACUCAGCAGGAGAAUGGCUGAAAACUAGAAGAGUGGAGGUGCUGAGUGGCCUAGUCAAAGUAUGGAGCCCAGCCUGACUGAAUGCUACGGCAGGAACAGAACCGGUUCUGUUGGGUCAGAACUGGUUUUGGUGCUGGCACUGUCCCAGCAUGCUUUGCUCUGCGCAAUCACCUGCUUCUGCUCCUGGUUCCAGUUCCGGUUCUGGUUCAGGUUUCGGUUCUGGUCCUUGUUCAGGUUCCUUUUCUUAUUUUGGUUCUGGUCCGAUGUUCAGCUUUGCGUCUGUAUGAAUAUUUCAGGCUGAAACAGGAAGUUAAAGUUUGAUGAGGAGGAAAUGAGGCGGAACGCUGCGACAAAACAUGCAUCCAUUAUGCAGGAUCCGCCAUGUUGGACUGACAUCAUCAGAGGAGGAAGGGCCGCCAUCAUCAUCAUCGUGGCGUUUUCUCGGUCUGGCCCUUUAAGAACCGCCUGGUCCCUUUAUCCCCUCAGGAUAACCAGCUGAAAACAUGCGGCCCGCAGCAUGACUCCUCCCUCCGGAUUCACAGCAAGACGAAUUAUUGUUCCAGCACUGACCCCAAGGAUCAGCUUGAACCUGCAGAGACAGAACCCGACCGCCGGUUCUGGUCCAAACUAAUGUCACAAUUCCAUCAGAACCAGAGACCAGGGGGAAUUGGCCGGUCGGUUAUCGGUUGAUCGAUUCUCAUUUCCUUAGUUUUGGAAGAUCAAUGAUCAGCCGAUAUUUUCAUGUGAAGAAAAAUUUCUCUUCCUCAGCAAAAGUCUACAGAUCAGCAACUGGAGGUUGCCGGGCAGGCAGCCCGACCCGGCCCGGCUCGCUUUCCGAACUUUUCUACCGGCUUCUUUUCGGAGCAGGCCCAGCCCAGCCAGUGACGCAAGCUUCGCUCCAGGUCACUGAUUGGCUGAGGGCGCGGUCAGACGGUCAGACGGAGCAGCAAAGAGAAGAAAAACGAGGCGCAACGUUUCAACUCGCUGCAACACGGAAGUGAUGAAGAUACAAACACCGACCCAGAUGCAGCUAACGCCGCCGCCGCUGCUCUCCAGCCAGAGAACAGAAGAGGAGGAACAUGGCUGACAUGAUGGAGAACGAUGAGGAGAACCGUCAGAACAACAACUGGAUCUCCUUCAGGAGGAAGCAGCUACCAGCUGAUGGCAGAGCUCCACGAAGAGCCGAGGCAAAUAAAAGAAGAAAAUAAAUGCUGUUUUCUCUCAGUGAACAAA